rnacentral:rRNA from 1 species
CUGGCUCAGGACGAACGCUGGCGGCGUGCCUAAUACAUGCAAGUCGAACGGUCUUUCUAUGGAAGCUUGCUUCCACUGAGAAGAUAGUGGCGAACGGGUGAGUAACACGUGGGUAACCUGCCCAUAAGAGGGGGGAUAACAUCCGGAAACGGGUGCUAAUACCGCAUAGUUUCUUGAUCGCAUGAUCGGGAAAGGAAAGACGGCCUUCGUGCUGUCGCUUAUGGAUGGACCCGCGGCGUAUUAGUUAGUUGGUGAGGUAACGGCUCACCAAGACGAUGAUACGUAGCCGACCUGAGAGGGUGAUCGGCCACAUUGGGACUGAGACACGGCCCAAACUCCUACGGGAGGCAGCAGUAGGGAAUCUUCCGCAAUGGACGAAAGUCUGACGGAGCAACGCCGCGUGAGUGAAGAAAGGUUUUCGGAUCGUAAAACUCUGUUGUCAGAGAAGAACAAGUUGGAGAGUAACUGCUCCAGCCUUGACGGUAUCUGACCAGAAAGCCACGGCUAACUACGUGCCAGCAGCCGC